rnacentral:rRNA from 1 species
CGCGUAGGCGGGAUGGCAAGUCGGUCGUGAAAUCCUUCGGCUCAACCGAAGAACGUCGGCCGAUACUGCCGUUCUUGAGGGAUGCAGAGGAGAUUGGAAUUCCCGGUGUAGCGGUGAAAUGUGUAGAGAUCGGGAGGAACACCGGUGGCGAAGGCGGCAUCCUGGACCAGUACUGACGCUGAGGAGCGAAAGCCAGGGGAGCAAACG